UAGCCUAGUGGUUAAGGCUAUGGAUCGCCAAUCCGGACACGGCGGGUUCGAUUCCCGU
rfam:Aedes albopictus isolate Foshan contig75089, whole genome shotgun sequence.